GGCCAGGAAGGGAGGGAGGUGGCACCAGUGGGGGCCGGGCCCAGGCCCAGUCGGGAGCCGAAGCUCAGUUCAAGCUCCUCCCGACAAUCUGUCCCGGACUUAGGAGGAACGAGUUGGAGUCGGGUCCAGCCGCCAGUUUGGGAUUGGGCUGCCCCGCCCCCGAUAUCUCGGCUGGGCUGGUCCCUCAGGCCUCGGCCGCGGCUUUUCAGGUGCUGGAGACUCAGCGGAGCUGCAAGCGGACGGAUGUCUUCCCAGCACCCACCGCCCCCUUCCGCCCACCUCAGGCAUGCAGACAUGGGAGUCCCACUGUAUGUCGCAGACUGAGGCCCCAGCCCCACUGAGGGCAAAAGGCACAUCUUUGCUUUGGGCCUCUCCUAUUCUCCAAUAGGAUUUUCCAGCUGGAAUGGAAUUCACUAGGUCAUUCACAUCAUCUCCCUGCCCUGUGCCUAAAUCAUUCUAACUACUUGAGAAUGGAUGAUAUAUUGAGGGCAUUCUCAAGAAGGUGAGUACAUAAUCUUUCUAUCCUUUACUCCUUUUCUUUAUUCAUCUUUAUAAGGGUAACUUCAGAGCUCUGAUGACACAGCAUCACCUUGGAUUCAAGAGCCAACUGGGAUGGAUUGUGAGAAGGAGCCAGGGUGCUCUGAUAGUGGAAAAGAAGUCCAAAGACAGAGAAGGCUUUGGUUUUGUUACCUGUAAUCAGGAAGAGUCCUGAUAGGAACCCACAUUACUGGGAAAUGGAUUUGAAUGUCAACACCUUUAGAUGGCGAAAGUGGAAGCAUGGAGGGUAAAGGAUAUUGGACAUAGCCUGAUUUCAGCUUGAGCCAGAAGGCUAUUCAUAAUAAUAGGUGCAUUAAAAACAAAUCAAUUGGCUAUGUGCAUGGAGCCUGCUUCCUGAAUGCCAAGGAAGCAGUCUGCUUAAUAGUUUGUCUAUUAUUAGAGCAGGCAUAGAGGGGGAAAGAUGACGGAAGCAGCAGAAGCAUUAUGGAAAAGAAAGAGAUAGAAAAUACUUAACCCUCUGAGGGUAGUAUAGAAGAGCAAAGCUUGAACUGAAAGUAUGUAAUGUAUUGGUUUCUUGACCCUAUCCAAGGGAGAAAUUUAAUGAGUUUUAUUUUAGCCUUUUAUUAAUUCAUUUAAAAAACUCAUUUAAGAGAUAUUUAUUGAAAGCCAAUUAUGUGCUAAAUAUUGUGCUAAGAAUUUCCCCAUUCUGAAAAGUGGAACCCUUGCAGGACUGGAACAGAGGUGUCUUGGGUACAUGGUUACGAUGCAGUAUAAAGAUGGGCUUUGCCCUUAUUACAUCUCAUUCUCUUCUGAUAGACUGACCUUGGGCAUAGAAUCAGCAUUAUUUGUUUUCGUAUCCUUAGCAUUUAACACGAUGCCUUACACAAAGAAGGUGCUCAGUACGUAGAUAAAUAAAUAGAUGUCGCUACUUGAUGUAAUAAAGCCCUGGUUUCUUCAUUCAGAAACAAUAGAGAUGAGGCCUAUCUUUUAGGUUUGUUGUGAGGAUUAGAAGUAAAGUAUGGAAAGCACCUAGUACAGCACCCAUCAUGUGCUCAAUAAAUGUUAGCAAUAAGAUAGUUUGAAGAUUGCUUUUAUUGAAAAGAGAAAAGAAAACCUGAUAUGUUCUUUGGCAUUAGUCCAAUUCCAAAAUCUAAAAUAGCGCAUCAGAGCUGGAAGGGACCUUCUACAAAGUCCAAACUCCUCAUUUUACAGAUGGGAAAACUGAAGCCUAAAGAGGGAAAAGGAUUUACUUAAUGUUACAUCUAAAUUAUCUACACUUUUCCUUGUAAUUACCUCAAAUCAUUGUGGAAGGUGAUAUAACAUAUAAACAUACAUAUGAGCUAGGGACGUCAUUUAAUAAAUGAGGAAAUUGACAUGGAAAAAAGUUAAAUAAUUUGCCCAAGGACCUAUGAUUCACACUAUAGCAGUCUGGCUUCAGAGUCUGUGAUUUUAACCGUUAUACGUCUCUAUUACAGCACUUAUAAAAUUAUAUUAAAAUGACCCAUUUGACAUGUCUCCUCACUAGAACUUAAGCUCCUUGAGGGCAGGAAGUGUGUGAUUUCCACUGUGGAUAGUUAUUUAUUUAUUUAACAAAUAUGUAUUGGGCAACUAUUAUACACCAGGACUUGCUAGCCCCAGAGAGCAGGCCUUAUCUUUGAAGCCAGAUUAUCUAGCUCUGUAAUGCUAUUGGUGUUCAUUUUCCUUCUGUUAUCGCCUUCUCUUUACUAAUGUCUUAUUGAGCGUUUCAGCUUAGUCUUGUCUGUUCUAAGGAGCACGAGGUUCUGUGCCCAUGCCUGGACCAGGCUGUUAAAGGAGAAUAGCCAGUGAGAAACUUCAUGGGGAAAGUGAAGUGCCAGAGAUAUGAUAAAAUCUGGAGUUCCUCACCAUUUGGAGAGGUUUCUUUUAGCAAAAGUUUUGGGGUAUUGCAUUUGGCAGGAUUUUUUUUUAAUUCAAUUUAGAAAAUGUCCUGGCCUUACAGUACCCUUUUGCCUAUCUCCCACUCAUUUGGCCUUCUAAGAAGUCACAGUCCUACCUCUACCUCUACCUCUACCUCUACCCUCUUUCCACGGUCUCCCUCUGAUGCCGAGCCGAAGCUGGACUGUACUGCUGCCAUCUCGGCUUACUGCAACCUCCCUGCCUGAUUCUCCUAACUCAGCCUGCCGAGUGUCUGCGAUUGCAGGCGCGCGCCGCCACGCCUGACUGGUUUUCAUAUUUUUUUGGUGGAGACGGGGUUUCGCUGUGUUGGCCGGGCUGGUCUCCAGCUCCUAACCGCAAGUGAUCUGCCAGCCUCGGCCUCCCAAGGUGCCGGGAUUGCAGACGGAGUCUCGUUCACUCAGUGCUCAAUGUUGCCCAGGCUGGAGUGCAGUGGCGUGAUCUCGGCUAGCUACAACCUCCACCUCCCAGCCGCCUGCCUUGGCCCCCCAAAGUGCCGAGAUUGCAGCCUCUGCCCGGCCGCCACCCCGUCUGGGAAGUGAGGAGCGUCUCUGCCUGGCCGCCCAUCGUCUGGGAUGUGAGGAGCCCCUCUGCCCGGCCGCCCAGUCUGGGAAGUGAGGAGCCCCUCCGCCCGGCAGCCGCCCCGUCUGAGAAGUGAGGAGCCCCUCCACCCGGCAGCCGCCCCGUCUGAGAAGUGAGGAGCCCCUCCACCCGGCAGCCGCCCCAUCUGGGAAGUGAGGAGCGUCUCCGCCCGGCAGCCGCCCCGUCCGGGAGGGAGGUGGGGGGUCAGCCCCCGCCCGGCCAGCUGCCCCGUCCGGGAGGGAGGUGGGGGGUCAGCCCCUGCCCGGCCAGCCGCCCUGUCCGGGAGGGAGGUAGGGGGUCAGCACCCGCCCGGCCAGCCGCCCCGUCUGGGAGGUGGGGGGCGCCUCUGCCCGGCCGCCCCUUCUGGGAAGUGAGGAGCCCCUCUGCCCGGCCACCACCCCGUCUGGGAGGUGUACCCAACAGCUCAUUGAGAACGGGCCAUGAUGACGAUGGCGGUUUUGUGGAAUAGAAAAGGGUGAAAGGUGGGGAAAAGAUUGAGAAAUCAGAUUGUUGCUGUGUCUGUGUAGAAGGAGGUAGACAUGGGAGACUUCAUUUUGUUCUGUACUAAGAAAAAUUCUUCUGCCUUGGGAUGCUGUUGAACUAUGACCUUACCCCCAACCCUGUGCUCUCUGAAACAUGUGCUGUGUCCACUCAGGGUUAAAUGGAUUAAGGGCAGUGCAAGAUGUGCUUUGUUAAACAGAUGCUUGAAGGCAGCAUGCUUGUUAAGAAUCAUCACCACUCCCUAAUCUCAAGUACCCAGGGACACAAACACUGCGGAAGGCCGCAGGGUCCUCUGCCUAGGAAAACCAGAGACCUUUGUUCACUUGUUUAUCUGCUGACCUUCCCUCCACUAUUGUCCUAUGACCCUGCCAAAUCCCCCUCUCCAAGAAACACCCAAGAAUUAUCAAAAAAAAAAAAAAAAGAACAGAAAGAAAACCUCUGUGCUUUGGGCUUUACCACUUAUUGGGUUUGUGGCUUUUUGCAAGUUAUAUAACAUGUCUGUGGUGCAAUUAUCUCAUAUGUAAUCAUAAUUGUACUUCACACAAUUGUCAUAGAGAUUUUCUGAGAUAAAUGAUAAUAAUAAUUGCUAACACUUCCUGGGCACUUACUAUGUAUCUGCUGUGUUCUAACCCAUCAGGUGAGGCACUGUUUUCAUUUCAUAUAAAGGGAUUAACAUUGAAAAAAAAAAAAAAGAAGUCACAGUCUAAAUAAAAAGAUCAGUCAUUA